rnacentral:rRNA from 2 species
UGGGGGAUAUUGCGCAAUGGGGGGAACCCUGACGCAGCAACGCCGCGUGAAGGAUGACGGUUUUCGGAUUGUAAACUUCUUUGACGAGGGACGAAAGAAAUGACGGUACCUCGAAAACAAGCUCCGGCUAACUACGUGCCAGCAGCCGCGGUAAUACGUAGGGAGCGAGCGUUGUCCGGAAUUACUGGGUGUAAAGGGCGUGUAGGCGGGAUUGCAAGUCAGAUGUGAAAUACCGAGGCUUAACUUCGGGGCUGCAUUUGAAACUGUGAUUCUUGAGUGAUGGAGAGGAAAGCGGAAUUCCUAGUGUAGCGGUGAAAUGCGUAGAUAUUAGGAGGAACACCAGUGGCGAAGGCGGCUUUCUGGACAUUUACUGACGCUGAUGCGCGAAAGCGUGGGGAGCAAACAGG